UACGGAGGGUGCGAGCGUUGUUCGGAAUCACUGGGCGUAAAGCGCGUGUAGGCGGCUUCUUAAGUCCGAUGUGAAAGCCCGGGGCUCACCCCCGGAAGUGCAUUGGAUACUGGGAAGCUGGAGUACCGGAGAGGAGGGUGGAAUUCCUGGUGUAGCGGUGAAAUGCGUAGAUAUCAGGAGGAACACCUGUGGCGAAGGCGGCCCUCUGGACGGAUACUGACGCUGAGACGCGAAAGCGUGGGGAGCAAACGGG
rnacentral:rRNA from 1 species